rnacentral:rRNA from 1 species
AACGAACGCUGGCGGCAGGCUUAACACAUGCAAGUCGAACGCCCCGCAAGGGGAGUGGCAGACGGGUGAGUAACGCGUGGGAACAUACCCUUUCCUGCGGAAUAGCUCUGGGAAACUGGAAUUAAUACCGCAUCCGCCCUACGGGGGAAAGAUUUAUCGGGGAAGGAUUGGCCCGCGUUGGAUUAGCUAGUUGGUGGGGUAAAGGCCUACCAAGGCGACGAUCCAUAGCUGGUCUGAGAGGAUGAUCAGCCACAUUGGGACUCAGACACGGCCCAAACUCCUACGGGAGGCAGCAGUGGGGAAUAUUGGACAAUGGGCGCAAGCCUGAUCCAGCCAUGCCGCGUGAGUGAUGAAGGCCUUAGGUUUGUAAAGCUCUUUCACCGAUGAAGAUAAUGACGUUAGUCGGAGAAGAAGCCCCGUCUAACUUCGUGCCAGCAGCCGCGGUAAAAC